GAUGAACGCUAGCGAUAGGCCUAACACAUGCAAGUCGAGGGGCAUCACAUGAAGUAGCAAUACGGAUGGUGGCGACCGGCGCACGGGUGAGUAACACGUAUGCAACCUGCCUUCAACAAGGGGAUAACCCGUUGAAAGACGGACUAAUACCCUAUAAUACAGGGGCCCCGCAUGGGGAUAUUUGUUAAAGAUUUAUCGGUUGAAGAUGGGCAUGCGUUCCAUUAGCUGGUUGGUGGGGUAACGGCCCACCAAGGCAACGAUGGAUAGGGGAACUGAGAGGUUUAUCCCCCACACUGGUACUGAGACACGGACCAGACUCCUACGGGAGGCAGCAGUGAGGAAUAUUGGUCAAUGGACGCAAGUCUGAACCAGCCACGUCGCGUGAAGGAAGACGGCCCUACGGGUUGUAAACUUCUUUUAUACGGGAAUAAAGUGCCCCACGCGUGGGGUUUUGCAUGUACCGUAUGAAUAAGGAUCGGCUAACUCCGUGCCAGCAGCCGCGGUAAAUACGC
rnacentral:rRNA from 1 species